UACGGAGGAUCCAAGCGUUAUCCGGAUUUAUUGGGUUUAAAGGGUGCGUAGGCGGCUUUUUAAGUCAGGGGUGAAAGACGGUAGCUCAACUAUCGCAGUGCCCUUGAUACUGAAGAGCUUGAAUACACUAGAGGUAGGCGGAAUGUGACAAGUAGCGGUGAAAUGCAUAGAUAUGUCACAGAACACCAAUUGCGAAGGCAGCUUACUAUGGUGUCAUUGACGCUGAGGCACGAAAGCGUGGGGGAGUCAAAACAGGAAUU
rnacentral:rRNA from 1 species